rfam:Camelus ferus unplaced genomic scaffold scaffold667, whole genome shotgun sequence.
GUGGUCAUAGCUUAAGUGGUAGAGUGCCUGCUUAGCAUGCAUGAGGUCCUGGGUUCAAUCCCCAGUACCUCCU